rnacentral:rRNA from 1 species
GAUCAUGGGCUCAGGAUGAACGCUGGCGGCGUGCCUAACACAUGCAAGUCGAGCGAAGCGGUUUUAAGGAAGUUUUCGGAUGGAAUUAAAACUGACUGAGCGGCGGACGGGUGAGUAACGCGUGGGUAACCUGCCUCAUACAGGGGGAUAACAGUUAGAAAUGGCUGCUAAUACCGCAUAAGCACACAGCUUCGCAUGGAGCAGUGUGAAAAACUCCGGUGGUAUGAGAUGGACCCGCG